rnacentral:rRNA from 1 species
UGAAUGGUGGAACGAGGCUUAACUGUCUCCCCUUUCAAGUCAAUGAAAUUGAUCUGCCCGUGCAGAAGCGGACAUACAAAUACAAGACGAGAAGACCCUUUGGAGCUUAAGAUACAAGAUCAACUAUGUCAAAACCAGUUAAACUAAAUAGCACCUGAUCACAAUCUUCAGUUGGGGCGACCACGGAGAAAAUAAAGCUCCCACGCGGACCGGUAGCCACCCCAAAACCAAGAGAAACAACUCUAAGUCACAGAAUUUCUGACCAAAAAGAUCCGGCCACCCGCCGACCAGCGAACCAAGUUACCCUAGGGAUAACAGCGCAAUCCCCUUUCAGAGUCCAUAUCGACAAGGGGGUUUACGACCUCGAUGUUGGAUCAGACAUCCUAAUGGUGCAG